ensembl:lncRNA
GGUGGAGAAACUAGAAGAAGUCAACCUGAAAAUGGAAAGAUUACAGAGUGAACACUAUGGCAUGGAGGAGAAGAUGGAAAGGAUGAUGAAGGAACGAGAGGAAGAGUCAGACAAGAAGGUUCAGAGGAUAGAAGAGGAGCAAGCACAGAGGGAGAGAGAGCUAGAGAUGCUAAGGGUGGAGAUGUGUGUCACGGAGGAACAGAAGGAACAGGUGGAGAAGGAGGUGAAGCGUCUGGAGAACAUCCUGGAAUGCCAAAUGAGUGCCAUCCGGAAGCACGAGGAGGAGGCGGAGCAGCACAGGGUGGAGUCAGCCAGGUGGGCAGAGCUACUGCAGAGGGAGGAGCUGCAGAGGCGAGAUCUUGAGGCAUCCAUCACAAAGAUGGAGGAGAAAGAGAAGUGCUUGCAGAUACGCCUGAGGGACGUGGAGAGGAAGAGUGAUGAUGUGAGCGCAGAUUUAGCCAAGCGCUCUCAGCAGCUCCAGAAGAGCAAAUCAGAGCUGAAGACUGCCUUGGACCAACAACACCACAUGUCUCAAAAACUGAAGGAACUUGAGGAACUGUGCUCAAGGCUGAAGGAGGAGACCAAGGACUCAGUGGAGCACAUGGAGCGAAGGGCAGAGGAGAACGUUCUCCGAUCCAA